GGGCAUGUAGCUCAGUGGUAGAGCUCUUGCUCAGCAUGCUGGAGGCCCUGGGUUUGGUUCCCAGCAGGGCAA
rnacentral:tRNA from 1 species